ensembl:lncRNA
AGGAGCUGCAAUAUUAACGUCUUCUAAUGGGCUUUACAGACACCUGCGGGAAUAUUUUCAUUCAGUUACAAACCGAAGCCAUCUGUUUACAAUAUCAAAUAGUGGUGAGGUCAUUGUGUGUCUUCAUACUGAUACUAGUUAUGUAGUUUUUUUCAACGGUAUUAACCAAGAACAAGUAUAUGCGUUGGGACUAAUAUUAUUUAUGUCAAGAUUAUAUGGUACAGAAGCGACAGCCCACCACCAUUUACGGACUGUUGAAUGGCCGCAGCUCCCAUCCUGCAGCGUGGCGGUUCAUUGAGUUUCUGAUUGACAGCGUGGGAGAGAAGAUGUUGUCUGUCGUCCAGCAGCAGAGAGAACG